rnacentral:rRNA from 1 species
AGGACGAACGCUGGCGGCGUGCUUAACACAUGCAAGUCGAACGAGGUGCUUCGGCACUUAGUGGCGAACGGGUGAGUAACACGUGAGCAACCUGCCCUUGGCUCUGGGAUAGCCUCCGGAAACGGGGAUUAAUACCGGACAUGACCUUCCCCGGCAUCGGGGUUGGUGGAAAGUUUUUCGGCCAGGGAGGGGCUCGCGGCCUAUCAGCUUGUUGGGGGGGUAACGGCCCACCAAGGCGACGACGGGUAGCC